rnacentral:lncRNA from 10 species
GUUAUUGCUCCCUUAAUGUGUCUCUCAGGGUCAGGCUGCAAAUUUCCCUCAAAGCAGCAUAAAAGAAGAAGGGACACUCACAAAUCCCCUGACCAAUGCCUCUUUGUUUAGAAAUGCUUGCUGUUUGGAAACUUGUGAAGACCUGCAUCCCUUUGUAUCUCAAAUAAAGACAGAGAUCUCUAUUAAGAGAAAAAUACAAAGAAUAAAUGAGUAAGGCUCUUGAAACCAUUGAAUUGUACAAACUUUGGUGGUUUUAAAUCUGGAUUUGUGAAUAGCUGAGCCCGUUCACUGUCCCAUUUUGGAGAACCAUGAGGCAUUCUACAAUCUAGCCCUUCUCCAGGUGGAUGCUUACCUGUCCGCCCAACCACAUUUAUCUGAUUCUUCAGGGACCCGCUGACUGAGGCAAUCAUGAUCUGGUACUGCUCCCCGGCCUCCAGUCUGUGGAACGUGUGCUCAAAGACGUGCUUGGGAAUAGUCUGAGAGUCAACCUUUUGACUGUGCCUGAAUGCCGACACCGUGUAGGAAUCAACGUCUCCCCCACCAGGAGUCCAGUUCACCGUCAGGCUAUCUGUUGCUCCAUUGGGAGAAAUGUGAAUAUUUUUGACAGCACUAGGAACUAAAACAGAAAAUAAAUUUAAAAGUCAUCACUUAGAGAAUGAACUGUUGAAAUUUUCAAACAAAGUUUUGAAUGCUUCUGAUGUUUUGGCACCCACUGAGAGAACUCACAUGAAAAAGAAAGUAACAAUUUGCCACUUUUCUCUGAUUUUUCUGUGUGAACUAAAGUUGAUGGGGGAAAGCUUAGGGGGAAGUCAAAGCCGGUGAGUGGAAAUGAGGAAUGCUAAUUAUAUAGCGAGGGGCUAGUUAGGGUGUCUUGGUCCAAGUUUUGGUUUUCUCACUCACUAGCUGUGGGACUACAGGCAAAUUACUUGACCUCUGUAAGUUUUAGUUUCUUCAUUAGGAAAAAUGGCAGUGAUGAUAAUACUAACCAGCCCAUAGAGUUGUGAAGAUUGAUUCUUUUUUAAUUUAAUUUUAUUUUAUUUUUGAGGUAGGGUCUCUGUCUGUUGUCCAGGCUGGAGUGCAAUGGCAUGAUUAUGGCUCACUGCAUCCUAUACCUCCUGGGCUCAAGUGAUUCUCCCACCUCAGCCUCCCCAGUAGCUGGGACUACAGGCACGUAACACCGUGCCCGGCUAAUUUUUUUGUAUUUUUUGUAGAGACAGGGUUUUGUCAUGUUGCCCAGGCUGUGCUUGAACUCCUGGGCUCAAGCUAUCCUCCUGCCUUGGCUUCCAAAGCAUUGUGAAGACUGAACAAGAUGUAGACAUAAAAUGCUUUGCUGUGGGUCUGGUUCAUGGUGAACUGUCAGUACAUGUUAACUACUAUGGCAACACUCCUAAAAGAGUUCUAAAGAAGUGAUACCCAAGUAACACUUAAUUCUUAAUCUGUGUGCCUCAGAAGCACCAGCUGAUCACAUCAGUUCAUUGCUAUUUCUCUGAAAGCACCCUCCAACCCCGCCACUCUCUGCUGACAUCAUACUUUAUUUUCAUUCAUCCAGGUUGGACAACAUCAUUGUCACUAUCAACAUGACUUUGUCCCUUCUUGCUGUCUCCCUUUUAUCCCUCCAAAUGCUCAAUCGAAAUACCUGAACUACCCGAAAGUUAAAUGCACCACUGCAUCUAUUCAGGUUCAAGAACAGUAUUUCACAUUACCUGUGAAGCCCUCAAUGAAGGCUGACUGCUGUACAUCCCCGCUAAUCGUCAAGACAAGAAUUUUGUAUUGGCGGCCUGGUGUUAGGGAAGUAAAUCGAUACUCGGUUGCGGUAUUUACAAGGUGAAAAGGAGGAAAUACUUUCAUGUCAUUGAAGAGCAGCUGGAUCUCAUAUUGGUCGACAUCCCCAUUAGCUCCUGACCAAGUCACAUGCAAGUCCUCAGUGCUCCUGUUGCGCAAUGUUAGAUCCUUAACAGGCUCUGGAACUAGGGAGAAAAAUGAGAAGACAUUUCAGGAAAGGAACUGAUCAGAGUUUACCUACAUAAUAAUUUAUGAAUCACAUUCAAGGAACUGGCAACAUCUCCCUUCCCCAAAUAAACCACUAGCACUACUUCAUGCAUAAUUAAACAAGAAAAAUUGGAAGCAACUAUUAACAUUGUGGUUUUUUCCUGACAUAAAUGUUACAUGAUCAGCAUUGGUAGAACAUAAUUAUAAAAUGAGUUAUGAUCUCAAUCAUAAGAUAAAACAAGAAGUCUAGAAUCUAAAUGCCAUGAUGCAGGAAGAUAGGGAAGAAAAAUGGGACAUUUAGCCUUCUUGCUCCCUCACUAUGUUUGCUUUUAUCUACCAAUAAAUAUUCUGUAAUUAUAGGCCAUGGCUUGGCUGAAUGAUGUUAGCACCAAGUGAGACUUACUGGGAAUGUAAUGUACUAAUGAAUAAGCAGAAAAAAUUCAAGGUUCAGAUAAAUUACUAGAGACUUUCAAGUCCAACCAACUGUCAGAUUUUGCAAUCGUUCCACUUACUUGUUCUCCCAUUCCCUUGUUCAUUGGCUUCAUAUUGUCCACUUUUUGUAGUAACAGUGACACUGUACAACCGUCCAGGGACUAGCUGAACAAAUACACAUUCGUUUUCUGACUUGGGAAUGCUUUUAGUUUGAAUGAAGUUGUUUUUGUUUUUAAUGGUGACUUCAUAGUGAUCAAAGUCUCCAGUGGCAUGCACCCAGGAUACCCUUAAAUAGUCACUCCUGGCUGAGUUGCUAACACUGACUCCCUGGACUUUGUCAGGCACUGAAAAGGAAACAGAGAGUAACUAAAUAUUUAUGAAUUCUGAGUGAGUAAUUGAUCACAGAUGACAAGCUGGGACAAUAAAAAGAGAGAGUAGAUUAUUAUUGUGUGCAUUUAAAAGAAAAAUCUUAGACCUUAGGUUACAAAUUUCUGGAGGGGAAAGAUUGUUACACUAUGUGGAGUGAUUAAACGGAUCUUUUAACAGAAGCUGAUGAACUCAUUCUAAGCCUGCUGUUUGCCUGCACAAAGUGUCAUGUAUAAGAUGGAACAUUAAACAUGAUGGCUGAU